rnacentral:snRNA from 1 species
GUGCCCCUCCAAAAGGCUCCAAUGGAUGAUACAGAGAUUAGCAUGAUCCUUGCGCAAGGAUGACAUGCAAAUUCAUGAAGCCUUCCAAGUUUUU